GAGACACAUGCUCCCCUAAGGGUAACCUGGGGCUUCCUAUCACCACAGUUUGUGGAUGCAUAAGAAAGACUGCACUGGACGGAAAAAAAUACAGUAUUCAAGCCUCCUUGCUCAUCCUGCAGAGACCCUGCGGUUCCAGGACUACCUCAGUGGCGGGAAAACCUCAACCAGCACAGCUCACGCCCAACUCAGGGAGCAUGCGCAGUGUACCCCUUCGUGCGCAUGCGCCUCGGUGCACGUCCGCCUUCCUGAGCGUUCUGUGAGGAGCGUUGGGCCUGAGACGGGUGUGUUUAUUCAAUCCCGGUCCUUUCUGACCACUUGAGCCUCACCAGGGAGAAAUAUGAAUGGGCAAGGGGCAUCAACACUGGGACCUGUAGAUCCAGAUUGCUCCCGGCUGGAUGAACGUGUGGUUGACCCGCAGCCCAGUGUUGAGCAACCUCAAGAAGAGGGACCACCAGCUGAGAUUCAGGAUAUCACACCUGAAAAGGAGGAAGUAAGUGGAGAGGAUCCAGUGAAUCCUGAUGAAGAGAAGGAGAAGGAUGCCUCUGAAGCGGAAUUCAUGCGUUGUUUUUAAAGAUGCUGUCCUGGAAACUGAUCUCCGGGAAUUGGCAGUGGCAAAGACUGGGGGUCAGGGUGGAGAUGGUCCUGAUGUCAAGGAGGAGAUUGCAUCAAACAGAGAGCCUGUUGAAAUGCCAGAAGCAGGUAUGUCAUCCAUUCAGAAAGUAAUUUAUGUGGUUUCUGUUUUUCCAGAAUAUUAUAUCUUUAAUAAUAUAGAGGGAACACUACUAUUAUUUUAAUAACAGAGUUCACAUAUUCUUUGAAAGGUAGUUCAGACCCCAGAUGCCUGAGUGUCUGACUUACAGACUUGCGAAUAAAGAAAGUCUGUAACUUUCUUUAUUCGGAUCAAAGCCAUAUCGAGUUGAAAAUAGGAAACCGUUUUCUUCAUUAUAUAAGUACUUUAAGCAACAGUUAAUAAUUUUCAGGUUCUUUUAUAAUUUCUGCUUGUAACAAAUAUGGAGUGCAUUUGUAAUAGAUAUCAGUUUAUAUGAAAUAUGCUCAGGCAUUCAAGUAGGUUCUAGUACCAGCUUUAACAUAAUGUGUGUGAUUCUGUGAAAUCCCUUAACUUCUAAACUCAACUUGACUCAUAUAAAUUGUGAAUUCAGAACAGAUACACUAAAAUGCUCAUUUUUCAAUGCUAAUUUUUGCAUUCU